CUUCCUCUUCAAAGGCCAUCACGGAAUGGGAGAUCUGUUUGCUUUGAAACAUUUUCUACAGAUUUAAAUCCAUGCAAGUUAUCUGAGGUGUGCGGAGUAGAGCCUCUGAUGAGUGCAGCGAACAUGGAACAGAACUCCUUAAUUAAAGGACGACAAUUUGGAUCUCUGAUGUGCUGUCUGUAAGGCGAGAUCCAGCGCCUGUGAGGAACCAGAAAGGAGUGACAGAAACUUAAGGAGAAGAAUCAAGACAAUUUUUGGUUGAAGCGAGCAACAGGCCAAUGGUUUGAAGAAAUAAGGAAAG